AUAAGUUAAAUAUAGUGUUGAGAAAAUGAAAAAUAAGAUUGAAAACUUUUCAUUGAAGGUUAUUUUAACCAAUGCAUGCAUUAAUGUUUCAUAUGCUUACAUCAUAGCUUCAACCAUUUUUGUGCCAUGUCGGCUAAUCACGAAUAACCAUGGCACAAAAGGUAAGAGCUACGAUGGAUGUGUGCGCAAAGGUAAGAGCUAUGAUGGAUGUGUGCUUGGUGUAAAACAGUCUUGAUUCAGAUAAAAUCAGUUUGAAAAUUAUUUUAGACUCUUCCACUCUAUUAUCAAAACAGAAAAUCUUAACAUUAGUUUGUGAAUUCUUGUUACUGGUCUGCAACAUUAGCAUCAUUUAUAACUAUACUAUUAACUUUUGAAUACAGGCAAUCUCCUACUUAUAUACUUAUUAUUUAUAUCCAUAGUCCCGUAGGAUUAUUUUUAAGUAACGACCGGGCCCGAACCCAGCCUUCCGAAAAAAUGGAGGUAUGGGAUUCGGAAUCAAAUGUGGUCCUGCAAGGUGAUAAGUGACUGUUUUAUUUUGUGACUUACGUGCUUUUUCUUUAAUAUAGCUAUUUUUAGUGUUACAUCAUUGUGACACAUUAGUACUGUAUAAGGUAUGUUCCAACAUACAUAUAUUUUAACUUCCAUAGAGACAAUCAUCUUGUAACCUCAGGGAUUGCCUGUAUUCAGUAGGAGAAGAAUGGUAUUAACAAUUUAAAUUAAGACAAUAAUAAUAU
rnacentral:lncRNA from 1 species